UAAUACAGAGGUCUCGAGCGUUAGUCGGAUUCAUUGGGCUUAAAGCGUACGUAGGCGGAUAUGCAGGCGUCGUGUGAAAGCCCUCGGCUCAACCGAGGAAUUGCACGGCGAACCGCAUGUCUUGAGAUCGGUAGGGGCUGUCGGAACGAUAGGUGGAGUGGUGAAAUGCGUUGAUAUCUAUCGGAACGCCGAAGGUGAAGACAGGCAGCUGGGCCGAUUCUGACGCUGAGGUACGAAAGCGUGGGGAGCAAACGGGAUUAGAUACCCCGGUAGUCCACGCUGUAAACGAUGUGCACUAGAUCGAGGAGGAUCUGACUCCGUUCUCGGUCGAAGUAAAAACGUUGAGUGCACCGCCUGGGGAGUACGGUCGCAAGGCUA
rnacentral:rRNA from 1 species